CGCGACCCCAGGUCAGGCGGGAUUACCCGCUGAGUUUAAG
rnacentral:rRNA from 1 species